rnacentral:rRNA from 1 species
ACCCGCACAAGCGGUGGAUGAUGUGAUUAAUUCGAUGCAACGCGAAAACCUUACCUACCCUUGACAUGUCCGGAAUCCUGCAGAGAUGCGGGAGUGCCCGAAAGGGAAUCGGAACACAGGUGCUGCAUGGCUGUCGUCAGCUCGUGUCGUGAGAUGUUGGGUUAAGUCCCGCAACGAGCGCAACCCUUGUCACUAGUUGCCAUCAUUUAGUUGGGCACUCUAGUGAGACUGCCGGUGACAAACCGGAGGAAGGUGGGGAUGACGUCAAGUCCUCAUGGCCCUUAUGGGUAGGGCUUCACACGUCAUACAAUGGUCGGUACAGAGGGUUGCCAAGCCGCGAGGUGGAGCCAAUCCCUUAAAGCCGAUCGUAGUCCGGAUCGUAGUCUGCAACUCGACUACGUGAAGUCGGAAUCGCUAGUAAUCGCAGAUCAGCAUACUGCGGUGAAUACGUUCCCGGGUCUU